rnacentral:rRNA from 1 species
ACGUAGGCAGCAAGCGUUGUUCGGAAUUACUGGGCGUAAAGAGUGUGUAGGCGGUGCUCUAAGUUUGGUGUGAAAUCUCCCGGCUCAACUGGGAGGGUGCAUCGAAAACUGGAGUGCUCGAGGGUGGGAGAGGUAAGCGGAAUUCCUGGUGUAGCGGUGAAAUGCUUAGAUAUCGUCAAGAACACCGAUAGUGUAGACAGCUUACUAGAUUUCAACUGACGCUGAGGCACGAAAGUGUGGGGAUCAAACAGGA